rnacentral:lncRNA from 1 species
GAGAUGAAGCUAUGAGAACUAAAAUGCAGAGGGAUUUGAAAGACCAGUAAGAAGGACAAAAAUACCUCAGUCACAGAGUUUAGAGACUUAUCUGGAAAGGAAUGGAAGAUGUGUGCAUAAGAGAAGAUGGAUUGAGUUAUUGUAUGUAAAAGGUCACAUUUAGGUUCCUCUAGGCUCAAGUACAGGUUUCUGUUACACAUGGAUUACCGGCAUGACAACAAGGCUCAUUAUUUUCAGAAGCUUGUGACUAUGUGGGAGAAUUUAUAUGUACUUCUGUGUGAUGAAGAAUUGGAUGCAGUCUCUUUGGAAGCUGUGCACCAACAAAAGAUGAAGAAUAGACAAGCCCACUCUUCAUCAGAGAGAGAACUAAAAUAAUGAAGACCAGAACUAUACAAGUUAUCAAGACGUACUAAUUCCUUAGUUGAUAAAGAACCUGCAUGAGACAGUGAUACAUCAGAGAGAGAAAAACUUUAAGCACUGAGAGGGGACAAACUGAUGGAUUCCAUGGCAAAGUUUCCUGACACAAUUCACCUCCAGAAACGUUAAUGUUACUUAGUAGAAAAAAAUAAAAAUCUCCAUGUUUAAAAAUAAAGAUUCAACUUAAACGACCCUAUAAUCAUGAAGAAAAUUGUCUUUAAAAUGGAAGUGUAUUAACCUCUGUGAGGUCCAGAGAAUACCUGGGGCCCAUAUAACAUAAGUCAGAAUUUUUUAACAUUAUAAACCAAGAUUAGUUAUUAAAAAUAUGUUUUAUCUUUUUACCCUGACAAAUAUGUCAGUAGAAGUCUUGAAACUGAGCACAAGUGUAG